UUAAGCGACUAAGCGUACACGGUGGAUGCCCUGGCAGUCAGAGGCGAUGAAGGACGUGCUAAUCUGCGAAAAGCGUCGGUAAGGUGAUAUGAACCGUUAUAACCGGCGAUGUCCGAAUGGGGAAACCCAGUGCAAUUCGUUGCACUAUCGUUAACUGAAUACAUAGGUUAACGAGGCGAACCGGGGGAACUGAAACAUCUAAGUACCCCGAGGAAAAGAAAUCAACCGAGAUUCCCCCAGUAGCGGCGAGCGAACGGGGAGCAGCCCAGAGUCUGAAUCAGCUUGUGUGUUAGUGGAACGGUCUGGAAAGUCCGACGGUACAGGGUGAUAGUCCCGUACACCAAAAUGCACAGGUUGUGAACUCGAAGAGUAGGGCGGGACACGUGGUAUCCUGUCUGAAUAUGGGGGGACCAUCCUCCAAGGCUAAAUACUCCUGACUGACCGAUAGUGAACCAGUACCGUGAGGGAAAGGCGAAAAGAACCCCGGCGAGGGGAGUGAAAAAGAACCUGAAACCGUGUACGUACAAGCAGUGGGAGCACCUUCGGGUGUGACUGCGUACCUUUUGUAUAAUGGGUCAGCGACUUAUAUUCUGUAGCAAGGUUAACCGUAUAGGGGAGCCGCAGGGAAACCGAGUCUUAACUGGGCGUUAAGUUGCAGGGUAUAGACCCGAAACCCGGUGAUCUAGCCAUGGGCAGGUUGAAGGUUGGGUAACACUAACUGGAGGACCGAACCGACUAAUGUUGAAAAAUUAGCGGAUGACUUGUGGCUGGGGGGGAAAGGCCAAUCAAACCGGGAGAUAGCUGGUUCUCCCCGAAAGCUAUUUAGGUAGCGCCUCGUGAACUCAUCUUCGGGGGUAGAGCACUGUUUCGGCUAGGGGGUCAUCCCGACUUACCAACCCGAUGCAAACUACGAAUACCGAAGAAUGUUAUCACGGGAGACACACGGCGGGUGCUAACGUCCGUCGUGAAGAGGGAAACAACCCAGACCGCCAGCUAAGGUCCCAAAGUCAUGGUUAAGUGGGAAACGAUGUGGGAAGGCACAGACAGCCAGGAUGUUGGCUUAGAAGCAGCCAUCAUUUAAAGAAAGCGUAAUAGCUCACUGGUCGAGUCGGCCUGCGCGGAAGAUGUAACGGGGCUAAACCAUGCACCGAAGCUGCGGCAGCGACACUAUGUGUUGUUGGGUAGGGGAGCGUUCUGUAAGCCUGCGAAGGUGUGCUGUGAGGCAUGCUGGAGGUAUCAGAAGUGCGAAUGCUGACAUAAGUAACGAUAAAGCGGGUGAAAAGCCCGCUCGCCGGAAGACCAAGGGUUCCUGUCCAACGUUAAUCGGGGCAGGGUGAGUCGACCCCUAAGGCGAGGCCGAAAGGCGUAGUCGAUGGGAAACAGGUUAAUAUUCCUGUACUUGGUGUUACUGCGAAGGGGGGACGGAGAAGGCUAUGUUAGCCGGGCGACGGUUGUCCCGGUUUAAGCAUGUAGGCUGGUUGUCCAGGCAAAUCCGGAUAAUCAAGGCUGAGGUGUGAUGACGAGGCACUACGGUGCUGAAGUAACAAAUGCCCUGCUUCCAGGAAAAGCCUCUAAGCAUCAGGUAACAUUAAAUCGUACCCCAAACCGACACAGGUGGUCAGGUAGAGAAUACCAAGGCGCUUGAGAGAACUCGGGUGAAGGAACUAGGCAAAAUGGUGCCGUAACUUCGGGAGAAGGCACGCUGGUGUGUAGGUGAAGCCCCUGCGGGUGGAGCUGAGACCAGUCGAAGAUACCAGCUGGCUGCAACUGUUUAUUAAAAACACAGCACUGUGCAAACACGAAAGUGGACGUAUACGGUGUGACGCCUGCCCGGUGCCGGAAGGUUAAUUGAUGGGGUUAUCCGUAAGGAGAAGCUCUUGAUCGAAGCCCCGGUAAACGGCGGCCGUAACUAUAACGGUCCUAAGGUAGCGAAAUUCCUUGUCGGGUAAGUUCCGACCUGCACGAAUGGCGUAAUGAUGGCCAGGCUGUCUCCACCCGAGACUCAGUGAAAUUGAACUCGCUGUGAAGAUGCAGUGUACCCGCGGCAAGACGGAAAGACCCCGUGAACCUUUACUAUAGCUUGACACUGAACAUUGAGCCUUGAUGUGUAGGAUAGGUGGGAGGCUUUGAAGCGUGGACGCCAGUCUGCGUGGAGCCAACCUUGAAAUACCACCCUUUAAUGUUUGAUGUUCUAACGUUGGCCCCUUACCGGGGUUGCGGACAGUGUCUGGUGGGUAGUUUGACUGGGGCGGUCUCCUCCCAAAGCGUAACGGAGGAGCACGAAGGUUAGCUAAUCCUGGUCGGACAUCAGGAGGUUAGUGCAAUGGCAUAAGCUAGCUUGACUGCGAGCGUGACGGCGCGAGCAGGUGCGAAAGCAGGUCAUAGUGAUCCGGUGGUUCUGAAUGGAAGGGCCAUCGCUCAACGGAUAAAAGGUACUCCGGGGAUAACAGGCUGAUACCGCCCAAGAGUUCAUAUCGACGGCGGUGUUUGGCACCUCGAUGUCGGCUCAUCACAUCCUGGGGCUGAAGUAGGUCCCAAGGGUAUGGCUGUUCGCCAUUUAAAGUGGUACGCGAGCUGGGUUUAGAACGUCGUGAGACAGUUCGGUCCCUAUCUGCCGUGGGCGCUGGAGAAUUGAGGGGGGCUGCUCCUAGUACGAGAGGACCGGAGUGGACGCAUCACUGGUGUUCGGGUUGUCAUGCCAAUGGCACUGCCCGGUAGCUAAAUGCGGAAGAGAUAAGUGCUGAAAGCAUCUAAGCACGAAACUUGCCCCGAGAUGAGUUCUCCCUGAGACUUUAAGUCUCCUGAAGGAACGUUGAAGACGACGACGUUGAUAGGCCGGGUGUGUAAGCGCAGCGAUGCGUUGAGCUAACCGGUACUAAUGAACCGUGAGGCUUAACCUU
rnacentral:rRNA from 1 species